AGCGAACGCUGGCGGCAGGCCUAACACAUGCAAGUCGAACGAACUCUUCGGAGUUAGUGGCGGACGGGUGAGUAACACGUGGGAACGUGCCUUUUGGUUCGGAAUAACUCAGGGAAACUUGUGCUAAUACCGAAUGUGCCCUUCGGGGGAAAGAUUUAUCGCCAUUGGAGCGGCCCGCGUCUGAUUAGCUAGUUGGUGAGGUAACGGCUCACCAAGGCGACGAUCAGUAGCUGGUCUGAGAGGAUGACCAGCCACACUGGGACUGAGACACGGCCCAGACUCCUACGGGAGGCAGCAGUGGGGAAUCUUGCGCAAUGGGCGAAAGCCUGACGCAGCCAUGCCGCGUGAAUGAUGAAGGUCUUAGGAUUGUAAAAUUCUUUCACCGGGGACGAUAAUGACGGUACCCGGAGAAGAAGCCCCGGCUAACUUCGUG
rnacentral:rRNA from 1 species